GGAUCAUCAUAUUGGUUCCUCAGAUACAAAUCUGGGUGUCAAUAGUGGUAUAGUAGAGGAAGAGAAACUGCCUGAAAAAUUAGUCAAGCGGGAAGACCUGAAAGCAGAUGUUAAGGAGUCCAAUGUACAUCAUUCUGUGAGUGUUGAGAUUGAGAAUAAUGAUGAAUCAUCCCCUGACCCCUCUGAGAAAGACAAAAGCUCAUUGCCACAUCCUC
rnacentral:misc_RNA from 1 species